rnacentral:rRNA from 1 species
CACGUAGGGUGCGAGCGUUGUCCGGAAUUAUUGGGCGUAAAGAGCUCGUAGGCGGUGUGUCGCGUCGGCCGUGAAAACCUGCAGCUUAACUGUGGGCUUGCGGUCGAUACGGGCAUCACUGGAGUUCGGCAGGGGAGACUGGAAUUCCUGGUGUAGCGGUGAAAUGCGCAGAUAUCAGGAGGAACACCGGUGGCGAAGGCGGGUCUCUGGGCCGAUACUGACGCUGAGGAGCGAAGGCGUGGGGGAGCGAACGGG